CCCCCAAACGAAAAAUAAAUAAAUAAAUAAGCAUUAGGAACACCCUGUUAAGUCGUUUUUUGCUUCCUAUUAAGUCGUCCUCUUGUCAGUCUAUCGCCUUUGUCAAUCUCACUGCCUUUAAUUGCCAUCUCUCAGUCAAUCAAACCAUACAAAACUAAAGAGAGAGAGAGAGAAAGAGAGGUGACAGCCCAUGUACUAGAGAUGGUAUAGGCCUAAUAAGUAAACAAAGGCUUGAGCCCA
rnacentral:lncRNA from 1 species